ACGGGAGUGGCAAGCGUUAUCCGGAAUUAUUGGGCGUAAAGCGUCCGCAGGCGGUUUUACAAGUCUGUCGUUAAAACGUGGAGCUCAACUCCAUUUCGGCGAUGGAAACUGUAAGACUAGAGUGUGGUAGGGGCAGAGGGAAUUCCCGGUGUAGCGGUGAAAUGCGUAGAUAUCGGGAAGAACACCAGUGGCGAAGGCGCUCUGCUGGGCCAUAACUGACGCUCAUGGACGAAAGCCAGGGGAGCGAAAGGGAUUAGAUACCCCUGUAGUCCUGGCCGUAAACGAUGAACACUAGGUGUCGGGGGAAUCGACCCCCUCGGUGUCGUAGCCAACGCGUUAAGUGUUCCGCCUGGGGAGUACGCACGCAAGUGUG
rnacentral:rRNA from 1 species